AGAGUUUGAUCAUGGCUCAGGACGAACGCUGGCGGCGUGCUUAACACAUGCAAGUCGAACGGAAAGGCCCUUCGGGGUACUCGAGUGGCGAACGGGUGAGUAACACGUGGGUGAUCUGCCCUGCACUUUGGGAUAAGCCUGGGAAACUGGGUCUAAUACCGAAUAUGACCAUGCGCCUCCUGGUGUGUGGUGGAAAGCUUUUGCGGUGUGGGAUGGGCCCGCGGCCUAUCAGCUUGUUGGUGGGGUAAUGGCCUACCAAGGCGACGACGGGUAGCCGGCCUGAGAGGGUGACCGGCCACACUGGGACUGAGAUACGGCCCAGACUCCUACGGGAGGCAGCAGUGGGGAAUAUUGCACAAUGGGCGCAAGCCUGAUGCAGCGACGCCGCGUGAGGGAUGACGGCCUUCGGGUUGUAAACCUCUUUCAGCACAGACAAAGCGCAAGUGACGGUAUGUGCAGAAGAAGGACCGGCCAACUACGUGCCAGCAGCCGCGGUAAUACGUAGGGUCCGAGCGUUGUCCGGAAUUACUGGGCGUAAAGAGCUCGUAGGUGGUUUGUCGCGUUGUUCGUGAAAACUCACAGCUUAACUGUGGGCGUGCGGGCGAUACGGGCAGACUUGAGUACUGCAGGGGAGACUGGAAUUCCUGGUGUAGCGGUGGAAUGCGCAGAUAUCAGGAGGAACACCGGUGGCGAAGGCGGGUCUCUGGGCAGUAACUGACGCUGAGGAGCGAAAGCGUGGGGAGCGAACAGGAUUAGAUACCCCGGUAGUCC
rnacentral:rRNA from 1 species